AGUGAACGCUGGCGGUAGGCCUAACACAUGCAAGUCGAACGGCAGCACAGUAAGAGCUUGCUCUUACGGGUGGCGAGUGGCGGACGGGUGAGGAAUACAUCGGAAUCUACUUUUUCGUGGGGGAUAACGUAGGGAAACUUACGCUAAUACCGCAUACGACCUACGGGUGAAAGCAGGGGAUCUUCGGACCUUGCGCGAUUGAAUGAGCCGAUGUCGGAUUAGCUAGUUGGCGGGGUAAAGGCCCACCAAGGCGACGAUCCGUAGCUGGUCUGAGAGGAUGAUAAGCCACACUGGAACUGAGAAACGGUCCAGACUCCUACGGGAGGCAGCAGUGGGGAAUAUUGGACAAUGGGCGCAAGCCUGAUCCAGCCAUACCGCGUGGGUGAAGAAGGCCUUCGGGUUGUAAAGCCCUUUUGUUGGGAAAGAAAAGCAGCAGGUUAAUACCCCGCUGUUCUGACGGUACCCAAAGAAUAAGCACCGGCUAACUUCGUG
rnacentral:rRNA from 1 species